rnacentral:rRNA from 1 species
AGUGAACGCUGGCGGUAGGCCUAACACAUGCAAGUCGAACGGCAGCACAGUAAGAGCUUGCUCUUACGGGUGGCGAGUGGCGGACGGGUGAGGAAUACAUCGGAAUCUACUUUUUCGUGGGGGAUAACGUAGGGAAACUUACGCUAAUACCGCAUACGACCUACGGGUGAAAGCAGGGGAUCUUCGGACCUUGCGCGAUUGAAUGAGCCGAUGUCGGAUUAGCUAGUUGGCGGGGUAAAGGCCCACCAAGGCGACGAUCCGUAGCUGGUCUGAGAGGAUGAACAGCCACACUGGAACUGAGACACGGUCCAGACUCCUACGGGAGGCAGCAGUGGGGAAUAUUGGACAAUGGGCGCAAGCCUGAUCCAGCCAUGCCGCGUGGGUGAAGAAGGCCUUCGGGUUGUAAAGCCCUUUUGUUGGGAAAGAAAAGCAGCAGGUUAAUACCCCGCUGUUCUGACGGUACCCAAAGAAUAAGCACCGGCUAACUACGUG